rnacentral:lncRNA from 1 species
CUAAACCUAAGUCAGAGCAACCUAACUUAUUCGCGACAUCGCGUUUCUUGUUUAUCUUUAAUUCGAAAAUCUGGAAAAUGGAGGAUAAGGCGAUGAUUCAAGGCGGUGAACGAAUCCCUAAAUUGAAGGCCGCAACUCACGAUUUACAACCCACCACUCUAUGUUUGACCCGCAAUCGAAGGCCGAAGCUCUGAAAAUCUUUCUCAACUCGAAGCCACGAUAUCACGAUCCCUAAUUUCUAGUAAUCAAGGUAUCUGUUUUUCAUAGCUUUUUAUUUUUGUCAUUAUUGUACAUCUGCAACAAAGUAAGUUAAUAGAUAAUAGAUAAUGGAUUUGGUGUUGCCUGCUGCUUCUGCGUCAAAUUGCAUAUUAUAAUUUUUGUUAUGUUUUUUGGAUGAUUAGCUUGAGCAAGAUAUUUUAUGACACGUCUUGUUCUCAUUCAUACUGUCAUUUUCAGUUUACAGAAUUCGUGCAUACAAUACAAGCGCUUCAGAUUGAGCUGGCAGAUGUAAAGUUAACAUAUAUGCCCUGUAUUUCUGGUGAAACAUGGAACUGAAGACAGGACAGAAUGGCAGACUGAAGCUUAUGAUCAACUCUUUAAUUUCUUGAAUGCAUCUUGUAUUUUGAAUUGUAAUUUGCAAGUUUUAAUUUAAAUCAGUUGUAAUGGAUUAUUUUUUCAAGAUAUUCUAAAUUUUAAUUUUUAGUUCAUGUAGAUUGAUGAGUAAAAAUAUCAAAAGUUAUUUA